AGCGAACGCUGGCGGCAGGCUUAACACAUGCAAGUCGAACGGGCGUAGCAAUACGUCAGUGGCAGACGGGUGAGUAACGCGUGGGAACGUACCUUUUGGUUCGGAACAACACAGGGAAACUUGUGCUAAUACCGGAUAAGCCCUUACGGGGAAAGAUUUAUCGCCGAAAGAUCGGCCCGCGUCUGAUUAGCUAGUUGGUGAGGUAAUGGCUCACCAAGGCGACGAUCAGUAGCUGGUCUGAGAGGAUGAUCAGCCACACUGGGACUGAGACACGGCCCAGACUCCUACGGGAGGCAGCAGUGGGGAAUAUUGGACAAUGGGGGCGAACCCUCGAUCCAGCCAUGCCGCGUGAGUGAUGAAGGCCCUAGGGUUGUAAAGCUCUUUUGUGCGGGAAGAUAAUGACGGUACCGCAAGAAUAAGCCCCGGCUAACUUCGUG
rnacentral:rRNA from 1 species